UAGGGAAUCUUCGGCAAUGGACGAAAGUCUGACCGAGCAACGCCGCGCGAGUGAAGAAGGUUUUCGGAUCGUAAAACUCUGUUGUUAGAGAAGAACAAGGACGUUAGUAACUGAACGUCCCCUGACGGUAUCUAACCAGAAAGCCACGGCUAACUACGUGCCAGCAGCCGCGGUAAUACGUAGGUGGCAAGCGUUGUCCGGAUUUAUUGGGCGUAAAGCGAGCGCAGGCGGUUUCUUAAGUCUGAUGUGAAAGCCCCCGGCUCAACCGGGGAGGGUCAUUGGAAACUGGGAGACGUGAGUGCAGAAGAGGAGAGUGGAAUUCCAUGUGUAGCGGUGAAAUGCGUAGAUAUAUGGAGGAACACCAGUGGCGAAGGCGGCUCUCUGGUCUGUAACUGACGCUGAGGCGCGAAAGCGUGGGGAGCAAACAGG
rnacentral:rRNA from 1 species